GAGGAAGGGUUUUCCUUCCCUCUACCUCAGUUUCCCCAACUGGGGACCAACCGAAGCUGGUGGAAGCCGCAGAGAUGAAAGCAGCUGUGCUUACUGUCAUCUGUGAACUGAACAAGCUGCUUAUUUUGUGGUAAUCCACACGUAAUAUAAAAGGUCACUGCGAUUGUACAAGUGAGGCACUAUUUUUAGGUGUAAAGGUUAUUAUGAAAGUGGAAAUGGAAAAUAACCUGAAAAGAGGAAUUGAAAACGCAACACAAAUGUUACCCAUAUUUCACUGAAAACAAGAAAUUACUGGGGUCCUGACAGCUCCCCUCCUGCCGCCGGGAGGGAUUUCAUAACCAUGCGUUGUUAACCGUCACAUCUCUGCGUGACUCGGAGCCUGUCUCCGGACCAGAGCGCUGGCUCGUCGCUUGCUGCUGCCCACUCCUACAGCACGCGUUUGAACCUGUGGAAACUGAACCUAAUAUUCUUCUGCAGUGCUGAGCAGAAAGGUUGUAGUCAUUUGGCUUCUCAAGCAAAAUAGUGCAAACUUCCUUAUCUACCUGAAGUGCAGGUUCAGUUGUUUUAUGGCCCAGUGAAAGGACAGGAAGUAUACCCCAUGGCAACGGGAACUCCCUGAUGGAGAGUGGCUUCCCUCACUCAGCGGUGUUGCAGCUGGCUACGUAACCUGGUGUGAGACUUCGGUAGGUACCCAACCACUUGACCUCUGAUUUCUUGGGAGCAAAGCUUCUGGCCAAGGUGUGGACUUCAGCCUGGUGUUUUAAGCACCCUAAUUCACAGGUAAGUGGGUUCUUGUCUCUUCACCACACUGCCUGAUAGAAUAACUGUUAAAAUUAUUUAAAAAUGUGGAUCAAGCUGCUCCAAGCCCUGUCCAACCUGGCC